AAUAGUUUAUUUGACACGGCACGAUACAAUUUAUGUUUAACUGAGCCAAGUACAUUUUUUUUUAAAUUCUAAAUUAGCAGGGAAAAGAGGGAGGCCUUUUCUUUAUUCUCGCGGCCGACUACGAGCUAGUGGGGAUUUAAGAAUGUAUUCAUUUGUACGUGGCUAACCAGUGAUGUUCUGUUUGAGCAGUUUUGGUCUGAGGUGUCUGCGUAAACAUAGAGAUGCCGAGUCUUCAUUUUAGUGUCUCCAGCCGGGUGUAUCAUUCUCUUUCAGUUUGUGACAGAAAUUGUAUUCUAGCAAAUAGAUAAAAGAAAUCAAAUUUUAA